rnacentral:rRNA from 1 species
UAUCUCUGUAGAGUCUGCAUAUCAAUAAGCGGAGGAAAAGAAACUAACAAGGAUUCCCUUAGUAACGGCGAGUGAAGCGGGAAGAGCUCAAAUUUGAAAUCUUCAAGGUUCUACCUUGACGAAUUGUAGUUUAAAGAAGUGUUUUCUGUCAGAUGAGUAGCAAAAGUUCCUUGGAAUGGGACAUCAUAGAGGGUGAGAAUCCCGUAUUUGGUUAUUCAUUCUAGCUUUGUGAUACACUUUCAAAGAGUCGGAUUGUUUGGGAAUGCAGUCCAAAAUGGGUGGUAAAUUUCAUCUAAAGCUAAAUAUUGGCGAGAGACCGAUAGCGAACAAGUACCGUGAGGGAAAGAUGAAAAGAACUUUGAAAAGAGAGUUAAACAGUACGUGAAAUUGUCAAAAGAGAAGCGUUUGACACCAGUGUUGUUUUUCCGAAAAUCAAUUACGAAUGGCUUGAUUUUGUGUUGUAUUGACCUUAUCAGCUUUCUUCACUUUUUUCGAGUCUUUCUUAAUGCACUUUUCGGUUAACAAGUCAACAUCAAUUUCUUUUGUUGUAAAAGAGUAUUCGGAAGGUGGCUUUCUUUUCGGAGAAAGUGUUUAUAGCCCUAUACUUCUACAAUCGGAGAGAUUGAGGUCUGCAGCGUAGAUCCUUCGGGGUUAGAUACACUUGUGCUAAGUUGUAGCUUUUCAUAGACAACUUGUUGACUAUGUUUAGUCAUGCGGCUUACUCGCUUGUGCUAUUUUACCUACGCUUAGGAUGUUGACUGAUAUGUAGUCGUA